rnacentral:rRNA from 1 species
UACGUAGGGUGCAAGCGUUAAUCGGAAUUACUGGGCGUAAAGCGUGCGCAGGCGGUUAUGUAAGACAGGUGUGAAAUCCCCGGGCUUAACCUGGGAACUGCAUUUGUGACUGCAUAGCUAGAGUACGGUAGAGGGGGAUGGAAUUCCGCGUGUAGCAGUGAAAUGCGUAGAUAUGUGGAGGAACACCGAUGGCGAAGGCAGCCCCCUGGGAUAACACUGACGCUCAUGCACGAAAGCGUGGGGAGCAAACAGG